rnacentral:rRNA from 1 species
CAUGCAGGCGGUCAGGCGCGUUUUGUGUGACAGCGGAGGGCUUAACUCUCCGAGGAUAUGAAAGACGGCGUGACUUGAGAGCGCGAGAGGGACACGGAAUUCCGGGUGGAGUGGUGAAAUGCGUAGAGAUCCGGAGGAACACCGAAGGCGAAGGCAGUGUCCUGGCGUGCAUCUGACGCUGAGGUGCGAAAGCCAGGGGAGCGAACGGGAUUAGAUACCCCGGUAGUCCUGGCCGUAAACGAUGACCACUAGGUGUAGGAGGUAUCGACCCCUUCUGUGCCGGAGGGAACCCAUUAAGUGGUCCGCCUGGGGAGUACGGUCGCAAGAUUAAA